rnacentral:rRNA from 1 species
CUUUGAUGGCGGGGAGACAUCCGAUGCAGUCGAGCGGAUGAGAAGAGCUUGCUCUUCGAUUCAGCGGCGGACGGGUGAGUAAUGCCUAGGAAUCUGCCUGGUAGUGGGGGACAACGUUUCGAAAGGAACGCUAAUACCGCAUACGUCCUACGGGAGAAAGCAGGGGACCUUCGGGCCUUGCGCUAUCAGAUGAGCCUAGGUCGGAUUAGCUAGUUGGUGAGGUAAUGGCUCACCAAGGCGACGAUCCGUAACUGGUCUGAGAGGAUGAUCAGUCACACUGGAACUGAGACACGGUCCAGACUCCUACGGGAGGCAGCAGUGGGGAAUAUUGGACAAUGGGCGAAAGCCUGAUCCAGCCAUGCCGCGUGUGUGAAGAAGGUCUUCGGAUUGUAAAGCACUUUAAGUUGGGAGGAAGGGCAGUGAGCGAAUACCUUACUGUUUUGACGUUACCGACAGAAUAAGCACCGGCUAACUCUGUGCCAGCAGCCGCGGUAAUACAGAGGGUGCAAGCGUUAAUCGGAAUUACUGGGCGUAAAGCGCGCGUAGGUGGUUGGUUAAGUUGGAUGUGAAAGCCCCGGGCUCAACCUGGGAACUGCAUCCAAAACUGGCCAGCUAGAGUAGGGCAGAGGGUGGUGGAAUUUCCUGUGUAGCGGUGAAAUGCGUAGAUAUAGGAAGGAACACCAGUGGCGAAGGCGACCACCUGGGCUCAUACUGACACUGAGGUGCGAAAGCGGGGGGC